GCCCGGGUGGUCUAGUUGGUAUGAUUCUCGCUUCGGGUGCGAGAGGCCCCGCGUUCGAAUCGCGGCUCGGGCC
rnacentral:tRNA from 17 species